AACGAACGCCGGCGGCGUGCUCAACACAUGCAAGUCGAACGGAAAGGCCCUGCUUUUGUGGGGUGCUCGAGUGGCGAACGGGUGAGUAACACGUGAGUAACCUGCCCUUGACUUUGGGAUAACUUCAGGAAACUGGGGCUAAUACCGGAUAGGAGCUCCUGCUGCAUGGUGGGGGUUGGAAAGUUUCGGCGGUUGGGGAUGGACUCGCGGCUUAUCAGCUUGUUGGUGGGGUAGUGGCUUACCAAGGCUUUGGCGGGUAGCCGGCCUGAGAGGGUGACCGGCCACAUUGGGACUGAGAUACGGCCCAGACUCCUACGGGAGGCAGCAGUGGGGAAUAUUGCACAAUGGGCGGAAGCCUGAUGCAGCAACGCCGCGUGCGGGAUGACGGCCUUCGGGUUGUAAACCGCUUUCGCCUGUGACGAAGCGUGAGUGACGGUAAUGGGUAAAGAAGCACCGGCUAACUACGUGCCAGCAGCCGCGGUGAUACGUAGGGUGCGAGCGUUGUCCGGAUUUAUUGGGCGUAAAGGGCUCGUAGGUGGUUGAUCGCGUCGGAAGUGUAAUCUUGGGGCUUAACCCUGAGCGUGCUUUCGAUACGGGUUGACUUGAGGAAGGUAGGGGAGAAUGGAAUUCCUGGUGGAGCGGUGGAAUGCGCAGAUAUCAGGGGGAACACCAGUGGCGAAGGCGGUUCUCUGGGCCUUUCCUGACGCUGAGGAGCGAAAGCGUGGGGAGCGAACAGGCUUAGAUACCCUGGUAGUCCACGCUGUAAACGGUGGGUACUAGGUGUGGGGUCCAUUCCACGGGUUCCGUGCCGUAGCUAACGCUUUAAGUACCCCGCCUGGGGAGUACGGCCGCAAGGCUAAAACUCAAAGGAAUUGACGGGGCCCCGCACAAGCGGCGGAGCAUGCGGAUUAAUUCGAUGCAACGCGUAGAACCUUACCUGGGUUUGACAUGGAUCGGGAGUGCUCAGAGAUGGGUGUGCCUCUUUUGGGGUCGGUUCACAGGUGGUGCAUGGCUGUCGUCAGCUCGUGUCGUGAGAUGUUGGGUUAAGUCCCGCAACGAGCGCAACCCUUGUUCACUGUUGCCAGCACGUUAUGGUGGGGACUCAGUGGAGACCGCCGGGGUCAACUCGGAGGAAGGUGGGGAUGACGUCAAGUCAUCAUGCCCCUUAUGUCCAGGGCUUCACGCAUGCUACAAUGGCUGGUACAGAGAGUGGCGAGCCUGUGAGGGUGAGCGAAUCUCGGAAAGCCGGUCUCAGUUCGGAUUGGGGUCUGCAACUCGACCUCAUGAAGUCGGAGUCGCUAGUAAUCGCAGAUCAGCAACGCUGCGGUGAAUACGUUCCCGGGGCU
rnacentral:rRNA from 1 species